GAUUAGAGUUUGAUCCUGGCUCAGAACGAACGUUAGCGGCGCGCCUAAGACAUGCAAGUCGAGCGAGAAAGGGCUUCGGCCCCGGUAAAGCGGCGCACGGGUGAGUAACACGUAGGUAAUCAACCCUCGAGUGGUGGACAACUCUCCGAAAGGAGAGCUAAUACAGCAUGACGUGGCGGUCUUCCGAGAUCGUCUCCAAAGCGGGCCUCUUCACGAAAGCUCGCGCUCGAGGAUGAGCCUGCGGCCCAUCAGCUAGUUGGCGGGGUAAUGGCCCACCAAGGCAUAGACGGGUAGCUGGUCUGAGAGGAUGAACAGCCACACUGGAACUGAGACACGGUCCAGACUCCUACGGGAGGCAGCAGUCGGGAAUCUUCCGCAAUGGGCGAAAGCCUGACGGAGCGACGCCGCGUGAGUGAUGAAGGCCUUCGGGUUGUAAAGCUCUGUGGGGAGGGAAGAAUAAGUUCAAGCGAAUACCUUGAAUGAUGACGGUACCUCCUUAGCAAGCACCGGCUAACUCUGUGCCAGCAGCCGCGGUAAGACAGAGGGUGCAAACGUUGUUCGGAUUUACUGGGCGUAAAGCGCGUGUAGGCGGCUUUGCAAGUCGGAUGUGAAAGCCCACGGCUCAACCGUGGAAGUGCAUCCGAAACUGCAUGGCUGGAGUCCCGGAGAGGAAGGUGGAAUGCUUGGUGUAGAGGUGAAAU
rnacentral:rRNA from 1 species